GACUCUAUUAGUGGGUGCUUCCCCUCGGCGGCUGUCACAGCAGACCUGCCAAGAGAGCGGUCAGUAAAGUUCCCGUCUGUAGCUUUUCACGGUUUAGUUGCUCUACAAUUAAUUAAUGGGAUGAAAAAGUCCCACACAGCACCUCGCCGCCUCUGGAGCAGCAGCAGCUACCUUUGCCAGCUGUCAAAUUGGAGAGACGUGGACUGGAAAAAUAAGCCCGAGGCUGUGGCUAUUUAAGGUAAUUAGUUCUGAUUCAUGCAGCUCUCAAUCCCUAUUACCUGUUAACUGCUGCCACCAUCAACCAGCGUUCAGCCUGGGGAGUUCAGCUUUGCGUGUGCGUUCAUGUGAAGACUGAAGGCACGGAAAGCAGAAGGAUGCCAGAAUCCAAUCAAAGUCCUGCGCCCUGAAUACAACUGCCACUUCCUGUUUGCCAGCCUGGCCUUUUACCUGGAUUUGUUUGGGUGAAGCACGAGGAAACAAAACAAUUUGGAGGAUACCUCCACCUCCCCAGUCUUUCUUCCACCUGCUCCCUACACUCACUGCAGAUCACAGUGUCAUCAUAUUCCAUGGAGACUCCUGUCGGACCUCAUCUGUCAACCUGUCCGUCACCUUUGAUGGGCAAUGUAUUAAUAUGUCAUCAGCUACAUCGCCGGAUAAUGUAAUGUUUUUUUAAGUACAGCAUUUGCAAACAAUGUUAAUAGUUCAUCUACGGCUUCAGUACUUGGCAAAGUAAUUUUAUUAAAAGUCAUCCACAAGUAAUAGUAAUAGUUGUGUGUUUGCAGAAAACCAUGUUCCCUCACCUAUCAGGUCAGAGGUUUGAUCUGAUUUUUGGCCAGCUUGCAGUUUUUCUUUUGGAUGUUAAACUUCAAAGUUCACUUUUGUCUCUAAAAGCCGAAACUAUCUUUUUGCUCUCUGACCUACUAAGCCACACACAAGCAGCUUUUGGAGCAUUUUUUACUUUGGAUAUUGGACUUAAAAAGUUAUGUUUUAACUGUCAAUUGAUCACACAACCUUGAACUCCUGCCAGAUCACACCAUGCCCAAGCUUUUCUUGGAGCCGUGUAAUUUUCACAGAGUUGAGCAGUACACAGAAUUCACUGGCUCAUGGUGACAUAUUCAUUGAGAAACUGAGACUUCAUAGUGCGAGUCUUUCUAUCUUUUUAGUGCUGGGCAUUACAGUUUAGAAACCAAAUUUUAACAACAAGUUUAAAACUAACUCGGGAGAUAUUUUUGUCUUGGUGCUACCCAAGCUAAGCAGUUUUUUGCCCCCUACAGCUUUCAGUCUUUUUCUGAAGCUCAUCUAAGAAAACAUGUUAAAAACAAAGAGUACUGAAGUAUCUUGACUAAAACUCUGACCUGAAUUGGAGUAUUUAGAGGUGUAAAUAUCUCACUGUAAUAGCAAAAAAGCUCUGUAACCAUUGGAGCAGUUUCAUAAAUGUAUUUUAGAA